UCUUCUGAAGUGUUUCCUUUUCUUUCUGUAAUUGGCCCAUCUCAUUCUUCAUGUUGUCAUUAUUGGUCUGUAACUGGUCUCUUUCUAUAGUCAGGCUGGUGUAGCUGGUCUGUAACUGGUCUCUCUCUAUAGUCAGGUUGGUGUAGCUGGUCUGUAACUGGUCUCUCUCUCUAGUCAGGCUGAUGUAACUGGUCUGUAACUGGUCUCUCUCUAUAGUCAGGCUGGUGUAGCUGGUCUGUAACUGGUCUCUCUCUAUAGUCAGGCUGGUGUAGCUGGUCUGUAACUGGUCUCUCUCUAUAGUCAGGUUGUUGAACUUGAUC